rnacentral:rRNA from 1 species
GACGAACGCUGGCGGCGUGCCUAAUACAUGCAAGUCGAGCGGACAGAAGGGAGCUUGCUCCCGGAAGUCAGCGGCGGACGGGUGAGUAACACGUGGACAACCUGCCCUGCAGAUUGGGAUAACUCCGGGAAACCGGGGCUAAUACCGAAUAACAUUGGAAACCUCAUGGUUUCCUUUUAAAAGGCGGCUUCGGCUGUCACCGCAGGAUGGGCCCGCGGCGCAUUAGCUAGUUGGUGAGGUAACGGCUCACCAAGGCGACGAUGCGUAGCCGACCUGAGAGGGUGAUCGGCCACACUGGGACUGAGACCCGGCCCAGACUCCUACGGGAGGCAGCAGUAGGGAAUCUUCCGCAAUGGACGAAAGUCUGACGGAGCAACGCCGCGUGAGUGAAGAAGGUUUUCGGAUCGUAAAACUCUGUUGUCAGGGAAGAACAAGUACGGUAGUAACUGCCCGUACCUUGACGGUACCUGGCCAGAAAGCCACGGCUAACUACGUGCCAGCCGCCGCCGUAAGAC